rnacentral:misc_RNA from 1 species
AUAUCAUUGAAAACACAAAAAAGGAAGUACAAAUAAAAAAUUCAGACCUUUAAGAUUCCAAGCAAAGAAACACCUAUGUCUUCACUGUGAAUGGCUUUCCUUAUAGACAGCACAUACUGUCUGCCAUCACAAGAUAUGGAGUUGCUCUCCUUUUGAGUACCCAUGAUACCAAAAUCAGUGUCCUGAUGGCAAAUCAUUUUCAUCCACGUGCCCUCCCAAGAAUUAAUUAAAUUAGCGAUAGGUGCAACCAACUUCAAAGAAACAGAACUUCUUUCCCUGCCACACGCACAUCUAUCAUGCUUGACAAAUUCCAUGAACACCCCAUGCCGAAUUUGGAAGACUGAAAGGGGUAAAUAUGAAGUUGCAUAUGUCUGAGCCAAUCCUUUCCUCUGGCAACACCUUGCAAUUGCACACAUCAGCUAAAAACAGUUUUGUAUGACAAUUUGUUGAUCCCAAGAUCUCUUUCUCAGAUAAGAUCCCAGAGAACUUUCUCCUUAAACAGAUGAUGACAAGUAAUACCCAUAGCCUGGCAACAAACACCAAGGAGUCAAUGAACUUUGCAAGAAGACUCUCACAGCAGGUCACUGUAUA